rnacentral:rRNA from 1 species
GACAGAGGGUGCAAACGUUGCUCGGAAUUACUGGGCGUAAAGCGCACGUAGGCGGGUCGUUAAGUCAGGGGUGAAAUCCCAGAGCUCAACUCUGGAACUGCCUUUGAUACUGGCGACCUAGGGUCCGGAAGAGGUUAGUGGAAUUCCCAGUGUAGAGGUGAAAUUCGUAGAUAUUGGGAAGAACACCAGUGGCGAAGGCGGCUAACUGGUCCGGUACUGACGCUGAGGUGCGAAAGCGUGGGGAGCAAACAGG